UGCGUCUGUCCUUGUACAUUUCGCGUCGCACAAAUCUCUUUUACGGCCGUUCACCAAGGAAUUUCAAACUCCCUCCCUUCACAGAUCCCCUCUUCGAAAAUGUUUCUUAAAACUUCAAUUAUUUCCUUUAAAUCAUCUUUGAAUGUUAGAUUUUCAUCUUCAUUCAUUCCUUCGUCACUGAAAUCAGCCAAACGCACCACUACUAUUAAACACCUUUCUAAACUUGAUAAUUUCCUCCAUGUAAACUGCAAGUCGGGUAACUUUUCUCUUGAUGAAGCUCUUGAUUCUUUCGAUUACAUGAUUCAUAUGGACCCCACUCCUGGAGGGGUUUUUACCCUGACGCCGUGACUUUUACUAGUCUGAUUAUUGGUCUUUGUAAGGAGGGCAAAAUUGAGAAGGCGAUUGAAUUGUUUGGAAAAAUGGUUUCUGUUGGAUGUAGGCCUGAUGUGGUUACAGUUGGGUGUUUGAUCACUGGCUUUUGUAGAACAGAUGGUCUUUGCAAAUAUGGCUUAGUAGACAAGGCGAAGGAACUGUUUUCAGAAAUGAAGUCCAAGGCUGUUAAUCCAAACGUGAUUACUUACAACACUUUAAUUUACGGAUUGUGCAAUACAUCUAAUUGGGAGGAGGCUAAAACUUUAUUUGCAGAAAUGUCGGAUGAAGGUGUAAAGCCUGAUGAGGUGACAUUUACUGUGGUUAUGGAUGAACUUUGUAAGAAUGGGAAGAUUGAUGAAGCCAAUGGAUUGCUCCAACUAAUGAUUAAUAGAGGUAUUCACCCCAACACAAUUACUUACAAUGCAAUUUUAAGUGGUUACUGCUUGGCAGGUAGAAUUGAGGAUGCAAGAAAACUAUUUGAUUCCAUGGAAAGUAAGGGGUGUAAGCCUGAUGUUUUUAGCUUCAGUAUUUUGAUGGACGGUAUGUGCUUGCCAAAUAAAAUUGAUGAUGCUAAGGAAUUGUUUUCUUUGAUGUUGAGUAAGGGAUGCAAACCUAAUGUAGUUAGCUACAAUACGUUGAUCAAUUGGUAUUGUAAGAAUCGAAAAGCUGAUGAAGCUAUCUGUGUUUAUAAGGAAAUGACCUCAAAGGGAAUUCAGCCAACAAUCGUUACAUUUAGCACCUUGCUAAAAGGUCUUUUCAUAUAUGGUAAAGUUGGACAUGCAAAAAAACUAUUUGGUGAGAUGCAACUUAGUAAUGUUCCUCCCAGUUUAAUUACAUAUAAUAUUCUUAUUGAUGGGUUUUGCAAAAAUGGUUGUGUUUUGGAGGCUGUUGAACUGUUUCAUUCUUUAAGAAACGGAAACAUUCAUCCUGACAUCAUUACUUUCAAUUGUCUCAUUGAUGGUUUGUGCAAAACAAGAAGACUCAAUAUUGCUUUGGAACUAUUUAACAGAUGGCGCAAUGAAGGAUUUGUUCCAGAUGUUGUGACAUAUAACAUUCUGUUGUAUGGACUUUGUAAAGAAGGGAAGUUGGAGAUGGCAAGUAAUUUGUUAUCAGAUAUGGAACAAAACGAUUGUGCUCCUGAUUGCAUCAGUUUUAGUACUCUUAUGUCUGGUUUCUUGCAAAAUAAUGAGACUUCAAAAGUGGUAGAACUUCUUCACAAAAUGAAAGAGAGAAAUGUAAAGCCAGAUGCAUCCACGGCUUCAAUUAUUCUAGAUUUACUACAAAGGUAUAGAAACUACAGUGAAGUCCUAAAUUUGCUACCAGUGUUCUCUAACCAAGAACCUACGGAUAGUUGAUUGUCAAGUAACUGCAUUUUCUGAGGGAGUACAACUUAUCACAAGAGUCUUGCCAGAUGUCAAAGUUUCUAUGUAAAGCUUGGCAAUUGCUUAAGUCGCUGAUGGGAAGCCCACAUCAAAGUGGGCUAACCUAAAUCCAGGAGUGCUUACUUAAGUCGCGGACACAUCUUUGUUUCUGAAGGGUGCCUAUUAUUGUUUUCAGAGGAAUUUCUUACAAAGAUGUCUCUAAGGUUGCAGGUGGUUUAGCACCCAGGGCUGCUGAUUGAAAUGAUGCUAUUGAAGCAGUGAAGAAAUUGUAUUAACUCUUUUGCAAAUAUUAAUCAUAUAGUGAGGAAGACAGAGAAAGUGUGUGCUUAUUGGGUUGAAAGGAAGUGUGGUUAUGGAGUGAUGUGUAAGUUUUGCAAUCCAACUGAGGGUUUUAGGUUGUUGAAGUAGCUUGAAGGCCAGUUGAAGGUACAAUCAAUUUUAUUAUGUGUGGGAUUGUGUCGCCAUCGGAAUCUUCUAAUCUUUAUCCGGGAAGUCAAGCUGAAACUGUGAGGUUUUGGAAUUGUCUCUGCAUCUGGCUGCGAUUGUUGUUGGUACAAAGAAAAUUUCUUGAUUCACUGAUUAUUUAAUUUGUUUAUUUUAUAAGGGCUGAAACUAUGGUUUAUAUUAUAGAAUUUUUUUGUUAGGAGCAUUUCAACCUAUUAUAAAAGAUUAUGUAUUACAUAACGAAAUAUUCAUUGAAAAAUUAUUGUGUCCUGAAUUUUACCAAUGGUAAAAUUAUCUGAGUAUUUACC